rnacentral:lncRNA from 1 species
AAAUUUAAAGGGUUUUCGCAUAAUAAAUUAAAACAUACAUUGGUUUGCUGUGAUCUAAUGGAACUCCACAGAAAAUUGGUUUAUAGUUGCCGGUUAAGAAUUCUUUCUGAGUUUCCACCUUACUGAAUGCUAAGAGUGUUAUCCGGACUCAAAAGGUGAAUAUAUGUCCGGAAAGUAUGCCAAAACAUGGAUAUCAAACGCAGAUAUGUUAGGGAAAAAAAAGUACGGGUUAUUAUUCCACUCGAUAUAGACAUCAAGUGAUGAACUAUAUAGGUGCUGCAGUAGGCCCAUAGAUCAGUGGUCUAAAAGAGGAUUUAUUGCGGACGUAAAAGACAGAAAGAUUGUCACAUGUUAUGAAACAAACACUGGUCUAUUCUAAGAAAGAGAAGACACUCCAGGGUCCACAACUACACAUGAUGACCAUUCAUCAUAACAGUCCAAAAUCUAAAAGCCACACCAACCAAGUUUAAAUGAGAAUUUACUGUCCAUUAUUAAAUAGUGACUGGGAAAAUAUAACAAGAAUUAGAACAACAACGCACAGAUAGAAAACCUACCAGCUCUUCUUCUAAGGGCUUUCGCUCUUGAGUGCUUAACCUCCUCUCCUC